rnacentral:tRNA from 1 species
AACCCCGAGGUGUAAUUAACAUGUCAGGCUGCAAACCCGAAGUUGGCUUCGGCCCGGGGUUU